AGAGUUUGAUCCUGGCUCAGAACGAACGCUGGCGGCGCGUCUUAAGCAUGCAAGUCGGGCGGGAUCCAUGCGCUUGCGCAUGGUGAGAGCGGCGGACUGGCGAGUAACACGUGGGCGACGCGCCCUCCGGACGGGAAUAGCCUGUAGAAAUACAGGGUAAUGCCGGAUGCGAACGCGCGCGCUGGAGGCGCGCGUGGAAAGCCCCCACGGGGGCGCCGGAGGAGCGGCCCGCGGCCCAUCAGCUUGUAGGCGGUGCAAGGGACCACCUAGGCUACGACGGGUACCCGGCCUCAGAGGGCGGACGGGCGCAUUGGGACUGAGAUACGGCCCAGACUCCUACGGGAGGCAGCAGCUAAGAAUAUUCCGCAAUGGGGGGAACCCUGACGGAGCGACGCCGCGUGGGCGAGGAAGGCCGGAAGGUUGUAAAGCCCUUUUGCGCGCGAGGAAUAAGGGGAGGAGGGAAUGCCUUCCCGGUGACUGUAGCGCGCGAAUAAGCGCCGGCUAAUUACGUGCCAGCAGCCGCGGUAACACGUAAGGCGCGAGCGUUGUUCGGAAUCAUUGGGCGUAAAGGGCGUGUAGGCGGCCCUGCAAGCCUGGCGUGAAAUCCCGGGGCUCAACCCCGGAACCGCGCUGGGAACUGCUGGGCUGGAGCCGCUGUGGCGCAGCCGGAAUUCCAGGUGUAGGGGUGAAAUCUGUAGAUAUCUGGAAGAACACCGAUGGCGAAGGCAGGCUGCGAGCGGACGGCUGACGCUGAGGCGCGAAGGCGCGGGGAGCGAACAGGAUUAGAUACCCUGGUAGUCCGCGCAGUAAACGAUGCACCCUUGGUGUCCGGG
rnacentral:rRNA from 1 species